rnacentral:ncRNA from 1 species
UAUACUUGAUUUUUAAUUAUUUAUUAUUAACAAUAAUUAUUUAAAUAUAAAUGUUCAUUAAAUUAUUCUUUUAGCUUAUUUAUAAGUUUUAUUCUUGCUUAGUUUAUUGUUUAUUUAAAAUAAUUAUAUGAUUCUUUUUUAAUAUUAAUUUUUCAGUAAUAAGAAUUAUUAAUUAACUUUAUUUUUAUUAAGAUAUUAAAUUAAAUUAGAUUAAUAUUGUGCCAGCAUUCGCGGUUAUACAAUUUAUUUAAAUCAAUAUAAUAGGUUUUAAUUAUUUUUUUUUGUUGAAUAUUAAAAUUUAAAAUUUAAGGUGGAAUUUAUUUUUUAAACUAAUUCUUUUAAUAAAUUUUAAUAAGUUUAAUUUUUAGACCAGGAUUAGAUACCCUGUUAUUGUUUUAUUUAAAAUUAAAUCUUGAAUAUUCUUAGCUAUGAACUAUUAAACUCAAAGAAUUUGGCGGUUAUUUAUUUUCUUAGRGGAACCUGGUUUUUAAUUGAUAAACCACGAUAUAUUUUACUUAAUAACUUAUUUGUAUAUCUCUAUAAUUUGGAAUGUUUUUUAAAAAUAUUUUCUUUGUUUAUCUUUAAAUAUAUAUUAGGUCAAGGUGCAGUUUUUAUUAAGUGAAUUUGGGUUACUUUAAUUUUAAAUAAUUAUUAAAUUAUUUUUCAUCAAAUUUUUUUUAAUAGAAUUUAAUAGUAAAUAUAAUUAAUUUAUUUUAUUGAAUAUUUACACUAAAUUAUGUACAUAUUGCCCGUCACUCUCAUUUUAAAUUGGGAUAAGUCGUAACAAAGUAACUUUACUGGAAAGUGAAGUUAGAAAGUU